rnacentral:lncRNA from 1 species
AAAAUACAAUGAACAUCACUUCCCCUGAAAAAAUUCUCGGUUUCUUCAUCAUGAGUAGCCAUGAGCCCAUCUUUUUUCAGCACAUCAACAGAGGUUCUGUCAUCCCAAACAAGCAAAAGAACCCUGACACCUUCACUAGCCUUCUUCUUGAGUAGCUCACCAAUGGACAUAUCUCCUCCUGGCUUUGGCCUCCUCGAGUCCCUCACUAAGGAAAUCUCAGCAUAAACAGACCAACCAGUAAUGUAGAUCAUGUGUUUUGCGUUGCUAAUGGCAUCGAAAAUAUCCUCCCAACAUCUCUGAGGCUCAUAGUUCUUCCCUCCAGCGAGAGGAAUAUUAGGAACAAAGUUGUCUGGAAUAUGAGCAUCUUGGUACAGGGAAACUUUGCAGCCUUGCCUCUGCGAGAAGAAUGUGUAUGGGACUCCAGGGAAUUUAGCACUUUUGAUACCCUUAUUCCAGUUACGGUCCUCCUCAACAUGGAAGUAUUGGAGCUUCACAUGA